rnacentral:rRNA from 1 species
UACAGAGGGGGGCUAGCGUUGUUCGGAAUUACUGGGCGUAAAGCGCGCGUAGGCGGCUUUGUAAGUUAGAGGUGAAAGCCCGGAGCUCAACUCCGGAACUGCCUUUAAGACUGCAUCGCUAGAAUCAUGGAGAGGUGAGUGGAAUUCCGAGUGUAGAGGUGAAAUUCGUAGAUAUUCGGAAGAACACCAGUGGCGAAGGCGACUCACUGGACAUGUAUUGACGCUGAGGUGCGAAAGCGUGGGGAGCAAACAGG